UGGAGUCCAAAAAUUUGAGAAUCAUUUUCAUUCACUUCGAUUGAGGAAGCACAUGAAACAAUUGGAGAAGUGUAUAGAAUUUGCAAUGGACAAAAAAAGAAGAAGAUCAGCAGUGGAAAAACAGUUAGCGAGUCACAACAAUCGCAACAACCGUCAAUAAUCAACCCGGAAAUAAACCCAAAGUUCAGAAAUAUUUCAAAACAGCCUUGAAAUUGCGAAUGGUGGUGCUACAAAACUUCCAUAAGACUCAUAAAUGAACCUAAACAGGCAAACCGGCUUCCUUUUCCAGAUUAUCGACCAAACAGGACCCUCACCAAGAUUAAACAAUUGGUUUUGGAGGCUAGAACUUAGUAAUUAGCUAAGAACUUCAAUAAAACAGUGUCAUUUUUUUAGUUUUCUGGAGAUUUCUAUUGUUUUUGGAUUUUUGGUUUUAGUUCACAAGGUUAAAUUUGAAGCUAAGAAUGAAGUAAAAGAGUUCUGUAUGAGAUUGUUUUGGGCUCAUAGUUGAAGAUCCCUCUCCAAGGAUUUUAAUGGCAUUUUCAUAGAA
rnacentral:lncRNA from 1 species